CUUCAACUGCAGGGUUACCAUGGUGUCUCCAAGCUGCCAACACCUCUGACUGGAGAGCCCUGUGAGAAUGGAGAAAUGCCACCCACUUUCCCAUUUCUGCUCCCCUCCCACCAAGUAACCUGUCCUUGCCCUCUUAUGCUGCCUCUCAAAAGUGUAUCUUUCAGCUUGUGCGUGGGUAGUUAAUACAACCCCAAAGGUGGGGUACUCUGUUUUUGAUGGCGUAGGAUGAUUGACUGCUGUACAAAUAGAAAUAAGAGGUUCCCUUCCUUGGUGCAUUGAACGUCA